GAGAGAGAGAGAGAGAGAGGGAGGGAUAGAGAGAAAGAGAUCAAGACAGAGAGAGUGCUACAUCUCCAGCACUGCAGAUCGCUGCACUGCGCUGUCUUGGAUGGGUGACACGGAGGAAUAGAGCCGGCAGAGAGGCUCUGCUUCUGGCAGCUGUUUGAAAAUAAAAGACACGGGGAAGGAAGGAUAUGACAACAGUUGCUGUCCACUAAGAGGAGAUCGCAGCGGAGGAACCUUCUCUUUGUGAGGGGGAUUGGGAGGGGAGGAGGGAGGGACCUUUCUUGUCUUCCGCAAGGAGAAGGAGGGGGCCGCCUCGGUUGCCUACGUCCCGCCCGCCCGGCUGCCGAAUCACAUGAGAAUUCCUCCCGGUAACCACGGCAACGCUCGCUGGUCCAGGCUGCAUCCCGCUGUGGGGAGAGGAGGAGAGUGAGGAGAGAGCAGCCGCGGAAACCAAGGACAUCCGGCCCUGCAAACACCGCCACCGCCGCCGCUGCUGUUCCUGCUGUCAUCGCACGUCUCCCCCCUGUGAGUGGCACCACUGUCCCCUCGCCGACUGGCACAGGCAGCGGGAAUACCGCCCGCCGCUCGGGGCUUUUGUGCGACAUCAGAGAUUUUUCUCCGUAAUUCCGUGCUGGGAAAAAAUGACAUCAUGACACGCGCCCACUGUAGGUGGGGGUUACAUGUGCAUUAGACUACCCCUCGGAUUCCGCGGAGAUCCGUGCUGCCCGUCGCUGCUUGUCCAAGUUGCGCCUUCAAGCCUGAACGGCCGUGGUAGCACACGCCUGCCUGAUCCAAGCAAGACCCGGGACUCUGAACGCGACAUAAAAGGAAUAAUCAAAGCACCGAUCGGCAUUUAUGACCCUCAUCUCCAAAUAGUGGAUGUGUUGAAUAUGAUACAGCGUGGAUUAAGCUUUGGAGAACCGAAGUAAACACUGACUGUGGCAUUUCUAGGAUCCAUUUAUAUCCCGGGAUCUGGCAAGGAAGAGUGAAGAUGUCUGAGGGAGGAAGCUAACGCUGAGUCAGAGAAGAGUGUGAUUGAGAGGGCAGGGCGGCCCA